ensembl:lncRNA
UGUAGCCAGUCUUUUUGGGGGUUGUUGUCUAUUUUCAAACAAUAAAGCCAGUCUUUUUGGGGGUUGUCUAUUUUCUAACAAUGAGUCUUUUUUGGGGGUUGUCUAUUUUCUAACAAUGUAGCCAAUUUUCAAACAAUGUAGCCAGUCUUUUUGGGGGAGGUUGUCUAUUUUCUAACAAUGAGUCUUUUUGGGGGGUUGUCUAUUUUCUAACAAUGAGUCUUUUUGGGGGGUUGUCUAUUUUCUAACAAUGUAGCCAAUUUUCAAACAAUGUAGCCAGUCUUUUUGGGGGGUUGUCUAUUUUCUAACAAUGUAGCCAGUCUUUUGGGGGGUUGUCUAUUUUCUAACAAUGUAG